UACUAGAGUAGCACUCGCAUAUCAAUAAGCGGAGGAAAAGAAACUAACAAGGAUUCCCCUAGUAACGGCGAGUGAAGCGGGAAGAGCUCAAAUUUGAAAUCUUAAAGGGUUUCCCUUUACGAAUUGUAGUUUAAAGAAGUGUUUUCUGUUGAGGUUUUGGUAAAAGUUCUUUGGAAUAGGACAUCAUAGAGGGUGAGAAUCCCGUAUUUGACCUUUACUUUCAACUUUGUGAUACACUUUCAAAGAGUCGGAUUGUUUGGGAAUGCAGUCCAAAAUGGGUGGUAAAUUUCAUCUAAAGCUAAAUAUUGGCGAGAGACCGAUAGCGAACAAGUACCGUGAGGGAAAGAUGAAAAGAACUUUGAAAAGAGAGUUAAACAGUACGUGAAAUUGUCAAAAGGGAAGCGUUUGACACCAGUGUUGUUUUUCUGAAAAUCAAUUAAAGAACUGUUUAUGCUAAGUUGUUUAGACUUUAUCAGCUAACUGUUUAGUUUUGAGCUUUUCUUUAAUGCACUUUUCAGUUAACAAGUCAACAUCAAUUUCUUUUGCUGUAAAAAAGCUUGAGGAAGGAGGCUUGAGAUUCGUCUUAAGUGUUUAUAGCCUCUUGCCUAUGCAGUCGGAGAGAUUGAGGUCUGCAGCGUAGAUCCUUCGGGGCUAAAUGCAUUUGUGCUAAGUUAUAGCAUUUUAUAGACAACUUGUUGACUAUGAUUUGUCUUGUAGCUUACUCGCUUAUGUUAUUUUACCUACGCUUAGGAUGUUGAGCGCAUGUCUCUCUCU
rnacentral:rRNA from 1 species